AGAGUUUGAUCCUGGCUCAGAACGAACGCUGGCGGCAGGCCUAACACAUGCAAGUCGAGGGAGAAGCUACUUUCGGGUAGUGGAGACCGGCAGACGGGUGAGUAACACGUGGGAACAUACCUAGUGGUGGGGGAUAACAGUUGGAAACGACUGCUAAUACCGCAUACGCCCUUCGGGGGAAAGAUUUAUCGCCAUUAGAUUGGCCCGCGUUAGAUUAGCUAGUUGGUAAGGUAACGGCUUACCAAGGCGACGAUCUAUAGCUGGUUUGAGAGGAUGAUCAGCCACACUGGGACUGAGACACGGCCCAGACUCCUACGGGAGGCAGCAGUGGGGAAUAUUGCGCAAUGGAGGAAACUCUGACGCAGCCAUGCCGCGUGAGUGAAGAAGGCCUUAGGGUUGUAAAGCUCUUUCAGACGUGAUGAUGAUGACAGUAACGUCAAAAGAAGUUCCGGC
rnacentral:rRNA from 1 species